GAUGAACGCUGGCUGCAGGCUUAACACAUGCAAGUCGAGGGGAAACGGCAUUUCGUGCUUGCACUGAAUGGACGUCGACCGGCGCACGGGUGAGUAACGCGUAUCCAACCUUCCCGUUACUGCGGGAUAACCUGCCGAAAGGCAGACUAAUACCGCAUGUUCUUCGAUGACGGCAUCAGAUUCGAAGCCAAGAUCCGUCGGUAACGGAGGGGGAUGCGUCUGAUUAGCUAGUUGGCGGGGCGACGGCCCACCAAGGCGACGAUCAGUAGGAGUUCUAAGAGGAAGGUCCCCCAGAUUGGAACUGAGACACGGACCAAACUCCUACGGGAGGCAGCAGUGAGGAAUAUUGGGCAAUGGGCGGUAGCCUGAACCAGCCAAGUAGAGUGCAGGAGGACGGCGCUACGGGUUGUAACCUGCUUUUAUGCGGGGAUAACGUGAGGGACGCGCCCCUUUUUGCAGGUACCGCAUGAAUAAGGACCGGCUAAUUCCGUG
rnacentral:rRNA from 1 species